AUAUAUUAUUGCUCUAUACAAAUAAAACUUGCUUGACUUGACUUACCAAAUAGUUUUUUGAGGUGUGUAAAUCAAAGCUGCUAAAAAUAAGAAAAUCCUGGAUUCUCAUGUUAUCUUGAUCUGGAUUAGUCGUAGAUGUUUGCCAAGUGAUUUUAUAAUGGAAAAGAUACCAUCAUGUACUUUUGAUCUGAAUGUGGAAAAUGGUAACAUUUAAUUUGACAUAAGGAAGUAAAUUAUAUAAGUAACACUGAAUAUGGAAAAGUGUUGCUAACAUGUUGCCACAUUGUCAUAUUUUAAUUACAGGUACUCCCCCUCCCCCUCCGCCUUUAUCUCCUCUUUUACAGAAAGAAGAAAGAAACAUACCAUGGACUGAAAGACAGCGAGAACUGCAGCUUGUCAGAGAUUACAAGCCUCACAAAGAUGUCCAGCAUCUCAGAAUUAUGCUUCAUGGACCACCAGGUGCUGGAAAGUCCAGCUUCAUCAACUCUGUCGACAGUGCUUUAAGAGGCAAAAUUGCAACUCGAGCAUUGGCAGCGGCAAACUUUGGUGCCAGUUUCACUAAUGCAGUAUGAUGUAUCUAUUCUUAUCAUAGUUGCUGUUAGAGGCUUGCAUGAAAACACACUUAUUUCCUUUGAGGUUUUCUAGGACUACAGGAGCGCACUGCAGAGUGAAAAAUAGUCGGUAAAACUAGUGUGUAAACUAUUCUGAAAACUGUUCAGGAUCUUUGCUAUAUGGCACUAAUAUAACAACACCACAAUUUUUAU